rnacentral:rRNA from 1 species
AUUGAACGCUGGCGGCAUGCUUUACACAUGCAAGUCGAACGGCAGCACGGGUGCUUGCACCUGGUGGCGAGUGGCGAACGGGUGAGUAAUGCAUCGGAACGUGCCUAUUAGUGGGGGAUAACGCUUCGAAAGGAGUGCUAAUACCGCAUAAUCUCUGAGGAGGAAAGCAGGGGACCUUCGGGCCUUGCGCUGAUAGAGCGGCCGAUGUCGGAUUAGCUAGUUGGUGAGGUAAAGGCUCACCAAGGCGACGAUCUGUAGCGGGUCUGAGAGGAUGAUCCGCCACACUGAAACUGAGACACGGUCCAGACUCCUACGGGAGGCAGCAGUGGGGAAUUUUGGACAAUGGGGGCAACCCUGAUCCAGCCAUGCCGCGUGAGUGAAGAAGGCCUUCGGGUUGUAAAGCUCUUUCGGCCGGGAAGAAAUCGUAUGGGUUAAUACCCUGUGCGGAUGACGGUACCGGCAUAAGAAGCACCGGCUAACUACGUG